rnacentral:lncRNA from 1 species
GUAACUUUCAGUAGCUCUCUAGGCCUGGGUACAAGAGGGAAGGAGGCGGGCGGAGGUGGGGACAUGGGUACCCCCAGUCCUUCCACCCUCCUCAUUCGUCUAGGGGCACCCAGAACCCCAAUCCUCUUUUCCCCAACACGCAGCCACUCGCAGGGUCUCUGGCCCACUUCUGUCCGGCGGCUGCCGCUCCGAGCAAGUUUUUCAGCUGUUGCUGAAUCUCCGCGGAUUUUUUUCUCGACGUGUGGACAGAGGGUGGAGCUGGCAGAGAUGGGGGACCCCAUUUUGGUUUCUGGCUUUGGUUUUGCACGGACACAAAGGAAGAGAGAAAGCUGGCUGGGGACUCAUCGCUUCUGGUCAGGGAGCUUUGGUUUAGGAGAGUUCGGGGUAAAUCCUGGCUCUGAGGACAUUCUUUUUAGCUUUAUUGUGUG